CCCCACCUUAGUACUAGCAAACCCUCUGCUGAACCCUCUCCUGCUCAAGGCCUGGUGACCAAAGCUGUUUUGGGCCUGGAACUGCUGCCCUGGCAUACUGCUACGGAAGCUAAAUGAGCAGUUUGUUGCAAAAUGAGACAGUUGGAGAGACCACCUGCUCUGGUGGAGUUCCCGGGGCAUUAUGCAAACCCUUCAAAAGAGAGAUCACUGCAACUACCACCACUGAGCUCCCCUGCUGUGAGCUGACAGCUACUCAACAGGAAACAACUACACUGCACAGGCAGCAUGCCUUUGCUUUUCCCAUGAGGAAUAAUCUCUGGAAACUUGGAUAGGAUCCCUUGGCUCGCAUUAGAAAAAGCAGACCUGUGCCCUCCAAGAGCCCCGCAGACCUUAACUGCAUUCCACCACACUUCUGACUCUCUGUAGAGCUACAAGGAAGUCGAUUAUUUCCUCAUUGCUCUGGCUUCUCCAUCUGUCACUUUACGACAUAAUAUUUACUUACCUUUUCAAAGCACUUUAAAUCUCCAUAGGAAUGCAUUAUAAAAGUUCAUUAGAGUUAUUACUGUUCUCCAUUGUGUAAUGCUGAAAAAUGGCUUAUGCAAGCCUGGCUCCUCUGUUGCCUCUCUGACCCCAUCCACUGUCCAGGUGCUGCUGCCUCCUCUGGGGACAGCAGUAAUGCUCCCUUGGUUUCCCAGUCUCUCGGAUCCUACUUAGUCUGAGAUAGGAUAGGAUCCUACUGAGCCUGAGAGAGGGACAACUGUCUAGUCUCCUACAUGUUGGUUCAGAGACAGGCAGAUCUGGAUUCAAAGGCUGCUGCUUUUCUUUCUGCACUGCUGUUGAACAUGCCUGCAUUUGAGUUCCAGUAUAUGUUUUCAUGGGCUCCAGUACGACCUGCGUGAUCUCAAAGCUCCUUUUGUGUGGUGGGAAGGCUGAAGACCCUGCUGAGAAAGACUGCCAAAUGUUGAUGUGCUGCUGACUCUGACCUGUUUUCUCUGCCACAGCGUUUUUCUAUUUAGUACAUAGUUACAUUUUUUUUGUUCCUUUUUAUUUUCUGUCGUGUCAAAACACUUAUUUUCAGUGAUACAAAAUGCUGUCAAAACACCGAGUACUUGAACUGACAACACCACGUGGUUGUCAUAGGAGCUUCUACUAAACAGGCUGGUGAUAGGAAUCCAACGGGUGUGGACUGGUGAGACUCUUCCAUGCUCUUCUUCCUCUCCCUCUUCAUCCUUUUCUGAGGCAUAUUGAUCAGCACACUCACCGUUUUAUGUUAAACAGCUGCCAUGUUUUAAGCCAGAGGUGACUGCAUUUCAGAGACAAGCAAAUGUACUUCUGUAUUGUUGCCAGACAGUGAUCUCAUGUACUUUAGCCUUGUUUUUUCAAAUGGUUCUGCUGGAUGUUAGUGGUGCAGCUCUAGCCUGACCCCAACGUAAGAGAGAUCUGAUCUAAUUCCGCUACUUUUUGGCAUCCAAAAAAUGUUAAGUAUAUAUUUUAGAAUAACGUACAUUCUGCCAUCCUGUUAACUCCUGUUUCACAGGGACUUGUUCUCCCUCCUAGCCCAUUAUUUUGACCAGAACUGGUGACUAAUGGAAGCAAUUUGUAGGAAGCAUGCUGUUCCCAACUGACCAACAGCAAAUUGCUAAUGACUGACAUUAGAGUGACUGUUCUCCACAGAGGAAGAGUUGAAAGCCCAUCGCAAGCAGCACCAGUCGCAUUAACAACAAAACAAACCACCCUGAUACUGGCACCUGCCAUUUAUCCUGGCUACUUCUUGCCUCCUUCUCUGGCACAUCUGUAACACCACACCAAAAUACACCCUGUAUUUGUUUAUACAAACAUGAAAAGCAAUUUAAAACACUUCAGUUUGGUUUUGACAUUAUGGAGAAAAUAUUAAAAAUACUAAUGCACUGCAAGGAGCAAUUCUGCACUGCUUAGGAGAUGGUGCAUGGGACUUAGUAGAUAAUUUCCAUCUCUGAAAUUUCUGAGACAUGAUGAAUGGAAUUUCUUAGUAUUUGAAACAAGAGAGGUAUGUUUAAGAAGACUGGAAUGGACUGCAGUGUAAAAUCUUUGUAAUUCAAAAAAGGCAGUCUUGUUUUUUAUUGCCCUUUUGGGGGAAGUCUCCUGUGAACCAAACAGCCAAUAAGUCAAAUAAAUAUUUCUGAAUUAAAUCCAUCUUCUCAUAGGCUUUGGGGAAUUUGAAAAAACAACAGUAAUUUAUUGAAUUACCUUUCAUGGUUAUACCUGCAGAUGCCUUUUGAAUUUGAUAGCUAAAACACUAAACUCCUAGUGUUUCUCAAAUCGGCUAAAUUCCCUAUGUCAUCUGUACCAGUUACUAUAUUUGUAAGGCAGUAAACAGUGGCAUUUAUUGUUUGCUGUUCAUGGGACUGUGCAGAAGAACAAGUUUAGUCUGUUUCCAGAGAUGUACACCUACCUUGCUGGCACCAGAAAUAUUACACUAGCUUAAAUCAGUGCAAUCUUUCCAUGCUGUCACUGCCUUCCCUGUUCUGAUGUUCACUGCUGUGCUGAUGCCCUUAGAAUUAGGGCCCCUUCCCUACUUCUGCUGUUUCUGAAAAAUUUAACAAGUGCAGCUUAGGCGUGUUAUGAGCAGCUAAUGAAUUUCACUAUCUAAGUGGGUAUGUUGGCUCUGAUAUCUGCUUUCCUUUGUAAGAAGAUGGAGAAAUGAACGUCCUUAUGUUGACUUGUCAAAUCCUUAUCUUGAAGCCUCCAGAAAAGUAGGAAAAUGAAGGCAAGCAGGUGAAUGACCCAGGUAUCAAGUACCUCAUCUCUUCUCAUAGGCAGUGGAAUUUGCAUAGAAAACUCAAGAGAGAGGAAAAAUCCAGGUGGAUAUGGAAUACUGCAGUUUUGGCAAAUGAGUGACAAAGUGUGUUAGGGCAGAGCACAGGAAUUAGUUCUGAGCAAUCCCAGAAGGUUUCAGGACAGAGUGCCUAGAGGUUUUGAUGUUGGCAUCUAAGAUGCUCUCUGGGUUGGAAGUCUCUGGGGAGAGCAUCUCAUAACCUCUCACCUGUUGCAUUUAUGAUCCCUUCUUAUCUUUUUCCUGUGACACAAUCCUUUCCUCUUCCUCUUCUUCCCACUCCUUUAAUUUACUACUUUAUAACAACUCUGAGGCUAAUUCUGCAGUUGCUUACAUGGCAAAGGACCAUUAGGAAAACAUUUAACACAUUCCGAUCUUAUUUAGGAAAUAGCCAUGUGAACGGUAGACCCAGACCCUCAGCAGAUUGAUAAGGUGCUUGUGGGUCACAUUCUGAAAAUAUUUUGAUGCAAGCUUAACCAUGUACACCAUGAGCUGUUAGAGAGUCUUCAUGUUACAGUGACAGAGGCUUUUGCAAAGAACAAGACAUGAGUUUUUUCUUUUUUUUUCUCUCUCUCUCUUUUUUUUUUUUUUUCAGUUCAGAUAGAGGCCCCAAGGGAGCCUUGUCUGCAAGUAAAACACAGAACUAAGCAAUAGUGAUUAAAAAGCAAAAUGUUUUAGGUGCACUGCUAUUAUCAGUGAAGCCGGUUUCAAGUUUCCCCUCUUUUCUGUUGUCACUUUUAGUGGCUUGUUAGGAGCUUCAUGAUGCCACUCGUAAUUCCUGGUGAGCUGUGCCAUCACACGACUAAUUAAAGGAGCACUCUGCAAAUCAUAUCACUGAAAGCCUUUUGUAAAGCCUACACUGGUUACAGCCAAAAAAUGCUCUUCUCCUGUGUUACUGAUAUCUUAAAUUCUUUUAUCUUCAUCUAUACAUUUCAAAGUCCUAGCAGUGCAUGGACAGUAGCUUACCUCAGUUCCUGUUUUCACUUUCUACUUCUCAGGUGCUAGCACAACUAAAAAGUUUGAAUCAUUUUUAAUUCCAAUCCCUUUCAGAGAGUUCUCAUUAAUUCACCCCCCUCCCCUUGCCUCCAGUAAUCUCUUUUUUUUUUUUUUUCUCUACACAAGUAUUCCUUACACAGCCACAGUGGCUUUUAGUCUGGCUGCAAGUUCCCCUCUAAUAGCUUUUGAACACAUCUGAGGAAUUUCUGUCCGAUUUGAUGGAAGGGUAGCAGUCUCAGAAACAAUUACAUUCCUACAAGAUCUGUUAAUACUGACAGCAUGCCAGAGGAGAGAGAACUAAAUUCAUGCCCCCAGUGAGAAAACAUUAUUAUUGUUCUUGGCAGCUGGUACACACUGGCCAACCUGUACCUACCACUUCUUGCCUUGUGCGGUUGUUGAUUGUGGUGUGGGGAGGAGAUAAGAUUAAUGCAGUGGGGAAGGAGGUAGGCUGAGGGAUACAGGGAGCAAAUCUGGUGGAAUUCAGGCCUCCCUCCUUCCAGCUCUCCCCACAGUUGUUUCGGGACUAAAUUAAAUCCAAGAUUUAUUUUUUUUUAAUUUUAUUUUUUUAUUUUCUUUUCUUUCUAAUAUGUCAAAAGCUCAAACAAAACUUCAAAUGGCAUUAUUUUUGUGGACAUAAAGCCAUUACCUAAUAGUUUUAACAAAGCCUUUUGAAAUGUACAUACAUUUCCAGUCAGCCAGAUUCUUCCUUUUUCACUAAAUACUGAACAUUCUUUUCUUCCCCUCGCUGUUGUCUUUGGCUGUAGAAGUUGUACUUUCCACUUUCAUAAAAACUGCAGGGGUAAUAUGACUGCAUGUAUAGUUUUUGAGUAGACUUCUUGCAUUCUGACAAAACGGCUAUGUUAACUCAUCUUGCAGCGGUUUGAGGGAUUACAUGCUUUGCUUGUGUAGCUAUGACUGAAAAUGCAGUUCUAUGUAUUUUCUAGUACUGCCAUGCUGAACGGUUGAAAAGCUGUCAUGUUCUUCUUCACAGUAGGCUACACAACUAUGUGAUAGAUAAAAUGAUACCUCUACAAAAUAUACAAAAUUGCUUUGUGUUCUUUAAGGAAAACAGAAACGCCAUUACAUGUUUUAAUCUUUCUUAACAAUUUAUUUUCUCCACAGUUAUAAGUAAAAAGUCUUAACUGGAAGAUUGUAUAGCCAGGCAUUGGUGCUGUAACAAGCAAAGCUGUAUAGCAUUUCACAUUUUCUCAUCCGUCUUUAGUUAGUAUCUCCUGACAGCAUUCCCAGCAAAAAACAGUGUCGUUACCACGAGAUAUUGUGUCCUAAGAAAAUGUCUUUACAUAUCUCUUAUCUCUCAUUCACUCCUUUAUCUCUGAGGGUAGUUUCCCAGGGGAUCCUUUGCACUAGUGCCCUAAACAGCCAAAAGUUUGCCUUUCUGAGAUUUAGUGUCUUUGAUUUUAUAUUCUGCCCAUCCUGAAUCCAUCGAGACUGAGAAUUCUACCAGAGCAUGUUCACCAAAGCUCAGGGUAUCUCCAGUCUUGAUCCCUCUGGUAAGUUUUUCAGCAUUGGUGAGCAACAGGUCCAGCAGUGUAUC